UACGUAGGGUGCGAGCGUUGUCCGGAAUUAUUGGGCGUAAAGAGCUCGUAGGCGGUUUGUCACGUCUGCUGUGAAAUCCCGAGGCUCAACCUCGGGCCUGCAGUGGGUACGGGCAGACUGGAGUGCGGUAGGGGAGAAUGGAAUUCCUGGCGUAGCGGUGGAAUGCGCAGAUAUCAGGAGGAACACCGAUGGCGAAGGCAGUUCUCUGGGCCGUAACUGACGCUGAGGAGCGAAAGCGUGGGGAGCGAACAGG
rnacentral:rRNA from 1 species